GAAACAUCGUCAAGGUUCCGUUAAUUGUAAAAAAAAAAUUGGAAUUUAGUUGAAGCAAUUGGAAGUUGGGGAGUUUAGUUGUAAGGAAUGCUAACUUCAAGCAUUGUAUGUAAAUUUUUCCCACCAAAUGAAUUUGAUGAAGACACAUCAUAACACCCCACCUCUUCAAUAUUUAUCUAGCAAAAUAAGAUUAGAAAGAGGGAAAAAUAAAUGAAACCCCAACUCUUCUCCAUGAAGCUCCAUCACCGCCAUCAUCAUCUCUUCCUCUCCUUGUGCGCGUUGGACGACGGCGGCCAUAACUCAACGAUCCGACAACCGUUUUCGAUGGUUCAAGCUCGGUUGGAAAGCCAACACAUAGAGGAAUAUGGUGUAUAGUAUCGGAUGUAACGGACUUCUAUCCUUGUUCCAGAAGUCCGCGAGUACAAAAAGAAGGAAUAAAUCAGUAGUGCUGCAGUAGUCGAGUCCUAGAGUGUAAUUAUAUUUUGUCAAACGGUUUUAAAUAUUUUGUUUAUACUCUGACAUGUAUAAAGAUUUUAGACUGCGCUUUUAAACCGUUUGUAUAUAUGUGAGAAACAGGGCAUGGCUUGAUAUGAGAUAUCGCUUUGUAAGACCCUGAUUUCUAAAGAUCGUUUUGUAUCGUUUAAAGAAGUUUUAUAAAAACAUUUUGUGAA